AUUGAACGCUGGCGGCAGGCCUAACACAUGCAAGUCGAGCGGAUGAAGGGAGCUUGCUCCUGGAUUCAGCGGCGGACGGGUGAGUAAUGCCUAGGAAUCUGCCUGGUAGUGGGGGAUAACGUCCGGAAACGGGCGCUAAUACCGCAUACGUCCUGAGGGAGAAAGUGGGGGAUCUUCGGACCUCACGCUAUCAGAUGAGCCUAGGUCGGAUUAGCUAGUUGGUGGGGUAAAGGCCUACCAAGGCGACGAUCCGUAACUGGUCUGAGAGGAUGUUCAGUCACACUGGAACUGAGACACGGUCCAGACUCCUACGGGAGGCAGCAGUGGGGAAUAUUGGACAAUGGGCGAAAGCCUGAUCCAGCCAUGCCGCGAGUGUGAAGAAGGUCUUCGGAUUGUAAAGCACUUUAAGUUGGGAGGAAGGGCAGUAAGUUAAUACCUUGCUGUUUUGACGUUACCAACAGAAUAAGCACCGGCUAACUUCGUG
rnacentral:rRNA from 1 species